CGUCCUCAAAACUUCUCGUUGCACAUCGUGCCGAUAAAAUCAAACCUGUUUGAAAAUACCAAGACAUCUGGAACUGCUCAAAGACGAGAUCGGUAGCCUUCAGAUUGCGCAUUUGACCGCUCACAUCUAGCGUGUGUUGGUGACGGCCGCACACCCCAAGUAGGCAACAACAUGGGGAUUUUGUCUCCGAUCUCAAACACUUGUCUGGGACAGCUAAAUUGUGGCCAAAAUCCUGUAGUGUACACCUGUCAGUCUCCCUCAGAGUUAAAAGACCGUUCCCAUCCAGACAGAGGCUGCAUGAGAAAAGCCUCUCUGACAUCACAUCAUCAGGAAAGCACCUCUGGGCUGCUCUGCCCCUCGACAGGAUGACAGCACGCCGCCUGAAUACUGCAUGAUUGGAAACACACACACGUUUCGUUCUUCUAUUC
rnacentral:lncRNA from 1 species